rnacentral:SRP_RNA from 1 species
GCUGGGUGCAGAGGCAUGUACUUUGUAGUCCCAGCUGCUGAGGAGGUGGAGGCAGGAGGAUCACUUGAGGCCAGGAGUUCUGGGCUGUAGUGAAUUGUGCUUAUUGGUUAUCCACACCAAUGACUUCCCUGGAGUGGAAAACACUUGUUGCUUAAGGAGGGAUGAACUGGCCCAGGUCAAAAACAUGGCAGGAAAAAACUUCUAUGCUGAUUCAUAAUGAGAUUAAGCCUGUGAAUAGCCAUGUGGUUCAGCAUGGACAAUAUAGCAAGAUCCUGUCUUAU